GGCGAAAGCCUGACGGAGCAACGCCGCGUGGGUGAUGAAGGCCCGUGGGUCGUAAAGCCCUUUUGUCAGGGACGAAACCUGACGGUACCUGACGAAUAAGCAUCGGCUAACUCCGUGCCAGCAGCCGCGGUAAUACGGAGGAUGCAAGCGUUAUCCGGAAUUAUUGGGCGUAAAGCGUACGUAGGCGGCCAGCCAAGUCUGGGGUCAAAGCCCGCAGCCUAACUGCGGAAAGGCCCUGGAAACUGGUUGGCUAGAGUGCGGUAGGGGCAAGGGGAAUUCCCGGUGUAGCGGUGAAAUGUGGAGAUAUCGGGAAGAACACCAGCGGCGAAAGCGCCUUGCUGGACCGCAACUGACGCUGAGGUACGAAAGCCAGGGGAGCAAAUGGGAUUAGAUACCCCAGUAGUCCUGGCCGUAAACGAUGGACACUAGGUGUUGCGCGUAUCGACCCGUGCAGUGCCGUAGCUAACGCGUUAAGUGUCCCGCCUGGGGAGUACGCACGCAAGUGUGAAACUCAAAGGAAUUGACGGGGGCCCGCACAAGCGGUGGAGCAUGUGGUUUAAUUCGAUGCAACGCGAAGAACCUUACCAGGGCUUGACAUGUCGCGAAUCUCGCGGAAACGUGGGAGUGCCUUCGGGAACGCGAACACAGGUGCUGCAUGGCUGUCGUCAGCUCGUGUCGUGAGAUGUUGGGUUAAGUCCCGCAACGAGCGCAACCCUCGUCGUCAGUUGCCAUCAUUUAGUUGGGCACUCUGGCGAGACUGCCGGUGACAAACCGGAGGAAGGUGGGGAUGACGUCAAGUCAGCAUGGCUCUUACGUCCUGGGCUACACACGUGCUACAAUGGUUCGGAUAAAGGGUCGCAAUCUCGCGAGGGGGAGCCAAUCCCAUAAACCGAAUCUCAGUUCGGAUUGCAGGCUGCAACUCGCCUGCAUGAAGUCGGAAUCGCUAGUAAUCGCAGGUCAGCAUACUGCGGUGAAUACGUUCCCGGGCCUUGUACACACCGCCCGUCACACCAUGGAAGCUGGUCAUGCCCGAAGUCGGUAUCCUAACCGCAAGGAGGGAGCCGCCGAAGGCGGGGCCGGUGACUGGGGUGAAGUCGUAACAAGGUAGCCGUACCGGAAGGUGCGGCUGGAUCACCUCCUUU
rnacentral:rRNA from 3 species